ensembl:lncRNA
CAGGCUUAAGGGCACAAAGGAAGGAGCAGAGGAAAAGAGCAAAGUCAAAGGCUCCAGACGUUAAAAUGACUCAGAACAUUCAGCGUUUUGUCGUUUUUAACAGUCGCACAUGAUCAGAAGAUUCACUGAUGUUUGUGUUUAAUGAGACGUAAUCUGUGAUAUUCACUAUAAAAGUGAACGACAGAACAUGGAGGAGGGUCCACCUCCUCUGAUGGACACGAGGAGAAGAGGAGGAGAAGAGGAGGAGAAGAGGAGGAGAAGAGGUGGAGAUAUGGAGAAGGUGUGGAGAUGUGGUGGAGAUGUGGAGAAGAGGUGGAGAAGGUGAGAAGGUGUGGACAUGGUGUGGACAUGAUGUGGACAUGAUGUGGACGUGUCUCUUUGCCUGAAAUGUUCUGCACCAUCUUCAUAGAGUUUAAAGAGUUUAAAGAGGACACAUUACUGUGGAACAUUACAAGCAAAGCAACAUCAUCUCCAUGGAGACAAAGUGUGAGAAAAGUCUCAUAUUUCAGCUUUAAUAUCUGAUCGUCCUCUCUGCUUUGUCCAUCGUGGUUUUUGGGACUUCAAACGUAUAAACUUCUUAAAUACUGCGCACACGUUUAAAGAGCGGGUUUUAACGUUCAGCUUUUAUUUUUUUUGCUCUCUGUGCUAAGCCCCUCCCCCUUCAGAGCACUAUCACAACACAAUCAGCCGCACUAAUGAAACUACUGCACAUCACUCCAGGUUUGUGAAGUCGUAGUGUACACUUCUGAAUCAUGUUUUUGUAUAUUUAUGGCGUGUUGUCGUGUGGAGCAUGGGUGACGUCGGCUUGUGGGCGGAGCCUCGUACAGCGUUUGAAUAGAGCUCGGGAGAGAUCUCUAGGUUACUCAAACAGGGGUGACGUCUAAAACCUCUUCAGACGCGUUUUUGACGAGGGAACAGCGUUAGAACACGGAACAAAGCAGCAAUUUUUAGUUUCAAACCUAAUACAAACAAAAACAACAACAAAAAAACCACACAAUAUGGCGACAAAAAUGGUUGUUUUUGAC